rnacentral:lncRNA from 1 species
AGCCAGCACGAACGAGCCCAGCACCGGCCGGAUGGAGCGUCCGCAACCCGAAGCAUGCCCCAGGAUUUGUCAGAGGCCCUGAAGGAGGCCACCAAGGAGGUGCACACCCAGGCAGAGAAUGCUGAGUUCAUGAGGAACUUUCAGAAGGGCCAGGUGACCCGAGACGGCUUCAAGUGGUGAUGGCCUCCCUGUACCACAUCUAUGUGGCCCUGGAGGAGGAGAUUGAGCGCAACAAGGAGAGCCCAGUCUUCGCCCCUGUCUACUUCCCAGAAGAGCUGCACCGCAAGGCUGCCCUGGAGCAGGACCUGGCCUUCUGGUACGGGCCCCGCUGGCAGGAGG